UACAGAGGAGCCAAGCGUUGUCCGGAUUGACUGGGCGUAAAGCGCACGCAGGCGGAUGCGCGCGUGGGGUGUGAAAUCUGGCCGCUUAACGGCCAGGCGCCAUCCCAUACGGCGCGUCUGGAGUGAUGCAGAGGUCGGUGGAAUUGCCGGUGUAGUGGUGAAAUGCGUAGAGAUCAUGAGGAAGACCAGUGGCGAAGGCGGGUCUCUGGACAGUUCCUGACACUGAGGCACGAAGGCCAGGGGAGCAAACGGG
rnacentral:rRNA from 1 species